rnacentral:miRNA from 1 species
UGUGUGUAUGUGUGUGUGUGUAUGUGCGUGUGUGUAUAUGUGUAUGUGUGUGCAUAAACACACACAUACACAUAUAUAUA